rnacentral:rRNA from 1 species
UGGGGAAUAUUGGACAAUGGGGGGAACCCUGAUCCAGCAAUGCCGCGUGUGUGAAGAAGGCCUGAGGGUUGUAAAGCACUUUCGGUAGGGAGGAGGAUUGACUGGUUAAGAGCUGGUUAAUUGGACGUUACCUACAGAAGAAGCACCGGCUAACUCCGUGCCAGCAGCCGCGGUAAUACGGAGGGUGCGAGCGUUAAUCGGAAUUACUGGGCGUAAAGGGUGCGUAGGUGGUUUAGUAAGUUAGCUGUGAAAGACCUGGGCUCAACCUAGGGAGGUCAGCUAAGACUGUUAGACUAGAGUAUAGGAGAGGGUAGUGGAAUUUCCGGUGUAGCGGUGAAAUGCGUAGAGAUCGGAAGGAACAUCGGUGGCGAAGGCGGCUACCUGGCCUGAUACUGACACUGAGGCACGAAAGCGUGGGGAGCAAACAG